rnacentral:lncRNA from 1 species
GAACACCCCCUGUAUGUGUUUACAGUAUUUGUGUUUAUAAUGGAGUGAAAGGGUCGGGGAAUACUGGGCUUUACAGCUUCUGAGCAAAGGGUUUAUAUCUCUCAGAAUGGACUUCUAGAGCACACAUUUAUACUUUUGCCGUGAAUGGACAUUUUCUUAUUUAGUUCUAGGUUUGCAGAACUACACUUUUUAAAAGUUCAGCUUCCAUGGCUACUGGCCUGAAGAAGACAAUGCCAAUGACUCAAUUGCUUCGGCCACAGCACUGUAGAGAGAAUAAGAAUGAUCUCUCCUAUGUCUGGAAGUGGAGAAGGUAGAAUACUCUUAGUGAGACACCAGGUGACCCUGUAAAAUAUAGCAAUAGCUGGUAGAGUCAGAUUUAGGAUUGAACAAGAUAAUACAUGUGAAUUGCCUAAAACAGUGAGCCCAUCAGUGUUGUUUGUUGCUAUUAUUUCUAUUGCAGUCUCAUCACAAAGGACAUCCUAGCAAUGAGUUUUGAUCUUUUGGGGACCAUCUAGUAAAGUUUUCCUAACUUACUGACCCCAGAUACUCCAAAGACACAUAAAAGGCUGGGUAGAGUUCUCCUCUAAUGCUAGAUAUUCAUUUAGAAACAAGAUUCAGCAAAGCAUUUAUUUUGUAGCCUUUGUUGGGAAGUGGAUUUGUGGUUCACCACUUGGAGCAUGAGUAGAAAUCUGUAAGAAGAAUUACUCUGUAAGUCAUUUAGCUCAAUCCACUUACUUUAAAGAUAAGAAAAUUGAGACUAGGAGAAGCACCAAAUACUUGUCAUAUCAGUGAUAAUAAAUAGGUCUUCUUUUCUCAUUUGUUAAACUCCAUGGGGAAAGGAAAUCCAAACUCACAUUUAACUAUGAGAUUGAGACACAGUAAAAUUUUGUUAAAGAAAGUGAACUCUCCACUGCGCCCAGUCUACAUAUAUUAUUGUUUUGGUCCUUUGACGCUGAGGCUGGAAUCACCCCCAAAAGCAGUGUCAGGGGA